UUAACCAGACGACGUCGUUUCUUCUCACCAGUCACCAUCUCUUGGCUGUUUCGUUUCAAUUCAGAAACCAGAAACAAGAUCCCAAUCGCCCCUCACCCUCUCAUCUCUCGCCGACGACGAACCCAAUCGCCACUCACCCUCUCAUCUCUCAUCUCUCAUCUCUCAUCUCGCUGACGACGAACUCAUCUGUUCUGUACUCUGUUAGAGCAAGGAGCGUUUGAAGAGACUCAAGAGUCAAGAGACUUGGAGAGCUAGCAAGAAGUGUUGGCUGAUUUGGAGAGUUUGAGCUUUGUUGUGAGUUCACAGGGACUGAAGGUCGAUGAGGAGAAAAUUAAGGCGAUACAAGAUUGGUCCACCCCGACCACGAUUGGACAUGUCCGCAGUUUCCAUGGUCUGGUCAGUUUUUAUCGACGGUUUGUCAAGGAUUUCAAUACCAUUGCUGCUCCCAUGACAUCUGUGAUCAAGAAGAAUGUAUCAUUUACUUGGUACGGGCAUAGGAGAUGUGCUUACUCAAGGUGGCCGACCUGUAGCCUUCUUCGGAGAAAUUGAGUGGAGAUGCCCUCAACUAUCCUACCUACGACAAAGAGCUCUAUGCUCUCGUGAGGUUUCUCGAAACUUGGAAACAUUAUCUUUUGUCUAAGGAGUUUGUUAUUCAUACAGAUCACGAAACCCUUAAACACUUGAGAGGCCAAACCACACUCAAGAAGAGGCAUGCUAGGUGGUUAGAAUUCGUGGAGACAUUUCCCUAUGUCAUCAAGUACAAGAAGGGAAAGGACAACGUAGUGGCCGACGUCCUUUCUAGACGCCACACUCUCAUCACUACCAUGGAGGCUAAGAUUUUGGGUCUUGAACAUAUUAAACUUGCUUAUGCUACUGACCCUGAUUUUUCAGAACUCUAUGCUAGUACCACCAGAGGUGUUGUAGGUCCAUUCUACCAGCAUGAUGGGUUCCUAUUCAAGGAGAAGAGGCUUUGCAUUCCUCAAAGAACCAUGCGAGAUUUACUGACCAGGGAAGCACAUAGUGGCGGCAUGAUGGGACACUUUGGCCGGACCAAGACUCUAGAUGUUCUCACUGACCACUUCUACUGGCCGAGAAUGAGACGCUAUGUCGAGAACUAUGCGCCAAAUGCACUGUCUGCAUAAAGGCUAAGUCCCGAUCUCAUCCUUAUGGUUUACAUAUGCCUUUACCUAUCCCUAACGCACUAUGGGUGGACAUUUCUAUGGACUUUGUUCUGGGCUUGCCCAAGAUAGAAAACAAAGAUUCCAUUUUUGUUGUUGUAGACAGGUUCUCCAAGAUGGCACAUUUCAUACCUUGUGACAAGUCUAAUGAUGCUAGCCAAACCGCCAAUUUGUUCUUCAAGGAAGUGGUGCGCCUACAUGGAGUGCCCAGAACCAUUUCCCGAUGUGUCGCCUUUCGAAAUCAAGAUCUUGGGAUUGGACUUGCCAAUCGAUUCAUAACCUUUGGACAACAGCAUGUCGUAGAAGGAGAGAACAGGUGAAGGGUCAUGGGGCUAGAACCCAUAGGCACCAGACUGAGGUAUGAAAUGAAGGACGAGUUUCACUCGCUUCGGGCUCUGUGUCCGACCGUGAUACCAAGUUCCUUAGCCAUUUCUGGCGGACACUGUGGAAGAAACUUGGUACUAAACUCCUUUUCUCCACCACUUGCCACCCACAAACCGAUGGCCAAACCGAGGUAGUAAACCGUACUCUCUCUCAGCUGUUGAGAGCUACGGUGGGUAAGAAUUUAAGAAAUUAGUUAAGUUGCUUGUCUUUCAUUGAAUUUGCUUAUAACCAUGCCAAGCAUUCUAUCACUAACCAAUCCCCUUUUGAGGUUGUUUAUUGCUUUAACCCAGAGAUUCCGUUGGACUUCAAACCAUUGCCACCGGACAUGCAAGUUAGUCAAAGCGGUGCGGACAGGGCUGAGUUUGUCAAGAGUAUGCACCAGCAGGUUCAGAAAACCCUUGAGACUAAGGCUGAGAAGAACCGGGUCAAGCUCAACCGCGGCCGCAAGGAGGUUAUCUUUCAACCGGGUGAUUGGGUCUGGCUUCACAUGCGUCCGAAAAGAUUUCCUGCAGAAAGAAAAUCCAAGUUGGCGCCUAGAGGUGAUGGUCCAUCCGGGUAUUAGAGAAGAUCAACAACAAUGCCUACAAGCGCGAGCUACCAGGAGAGUUCAAGGUGUCCCCAACGUUCAAUAUUUCUGAUUUGGCCCCCUAUCUUGAAGAUGAUGAAGAAGUUCUGAGGACAGAACCUUCUCAAGGGGGAGGGGAUGUUGUGGUCACCCAAGCUGAGGUUCCCCAAGUUCAUAAGGGUCCGACUACCAGGUUAGGUGCGAGGAACUUAAGAAAUGGUUUUACCAAGGCUAUCCAAGAGAUGAUUGAUCAAGGCCUCAAACAGCUACUGAUCCAAGAGAUGUCCGGGUUAAAGAUUGAAGAUCCAACCGGCUCCAAAGAGGUUCAAGACCAGACUGGUCCGAUUCAGUUCUCUUCCAUCGUCCAUAACCGAACCGGCCUGAUCAUUUCCACAUUCGACCUCGGUUCAGAAUCAAUCUCCAAUCCAACCAACCAAUUUGCUUCCGGUUCAGAGAUAUAGCCAACCACCAAAGUAAGUAGUAUGUGUUGUACUCUUUUUCCUUCAUCGGGUUUUGUCCCACUGGGUUUUCCCGAUAAGGUUUUAAUGAGGCAACAUGCAAGCAUACUAUGAGCUUUGGUUUAGGCAUCUCAAUCAGCAAGCGGUUUACUGUUUUUGAUUUAAUUUUAUUUUGGUUUAGACUGGGCAUUUGUCAGCCUUUUCAUUUUGUUUGAGAGUUGGCCCUUUUGUUUAGGCCCAUUUUAUCUUUGAGAGUUCAAUGAGGGAGACUAUAUAUUCCCUUGUAGUUGGCGAUUUUUGCCUUCAGUUUUUAUGAAAGUUUUUAGUUUGCAAGAGCAAAUAAA